rnacentral:rRNA from 1 species
UACGAAGGGGGCUAGCGUUGUUCGGAAUUACUGGGCGUAAAGCGCACGUAGGCGGACUGUUAAGUCAGGGGUGAAAUCCCAGAGCUCAACUCUGGAACUGCCUUUGAUACUGGCAAUCUCGAGUUCGGAAGAGGUGAGUGGAAUUCCUAGUGUAGAGGUGAAAUUCGUAGAUAUUAGGAAGAACACCAGUGGCGAAGGCGGCUCACUGGUCCGACACUGACGCUGAGGUGCGAAAGCGUGGGGAGCAAACAGG